rnacentral:rRNA from 1 species
CGAACGCUGGCGGCGCGUUUAAGCAUGCAAGUCGAGCGGCAAGGGCCUUCGGGCCCCUAGAGCGGCGGACGGGUGAGUAACACGUGGACAAUCUGCCCCCCGGCCCGGGAUAGCCCAGGGAAACCUGGAUUAAUACCGGAUGAGACGGGACCCGCGAUGGCGGGACCCGGGAAAGGCGCUGCGGCGCCGCCGGGGGAUGAGUCUGCGUCCCAUUAGCUAGACGGCGGGGUAACGGCCCACCGUGGCGACGAUGGGUAGCCGGCCUGAGAGGGUGGACGGCCACAUUGGAACUGAGACACGGUCCAGACUCCUACGGGAGGCAGCAGCUAAGAAUCUUCCGCAAUGGGCGAAAGCCUGACGGGAAGCGACGCCGCGUGAACGAAGAAGGCCGUGAGGUUGUAAAGUUCUUUUCGGGAGGGGGAACAACCGUGGCAGGGAAUGGCCGCGGGAUGACGUGAAUCCCGGAAUAAGCCCCGGCUAACUACGUGCCAGCCGCCGC